AUUGAACGCUGGCGGCAGGCCUAACACAUGCAAGUCGAGCGGAGCGGCGGACGGGUGAGUAAUGCCUAGGAAUCUGCCUGUUAGUGGGGGAUAACGCUCGGAAAUGGGCGCUAAUACCGCAUACUAUCAGAUGAGCCUAGGGCGGAUUAGCUAGUUGGUGGGGUAAAGGCCUACCAAGGCGACGAUCCGUAACUGGUCUGAGAGGAUGAUCAGUCACACUGGAACUGAGACACGGUCCAGACUCCUACGGGAGGCAGCAGUGGGGAAUAUUGGACAAUGGGCGAAAGCCUGAUGCAGCCAUGCCGCGUGUGUGAAGAAGGUCUUCGGGUUGUAAAGCACUUUAAGUUGGGAGGCGUUACCAACAGAAUAAGCACCGGCUAACUUCGUGCCAGCAGCCGCGGUAAUAC
rnacentral:rRNA from 1 species